AUUAUGUACAAUAUGCAAUCCAAUUUUGCUCUUUAUUGCUGAAUCAAAGUUGUAUAUAACUUCGAGAUAAUGAAUUUGGGCACAAAAAUCACUUGAUUUGGAGUUCGGAGGUAUGAGUUAUGGUCUUUUUGUAGAGCACUUCGAGCUAAUGAAUUUGGGCACAAAAAUCGCUCAAUUCGGAGUUCGGAGCUAUGAGUUACGCCUUAUACAAGUUCAGCACUGCUGCUGUACUUUGUGUUGCGUUGCUGCCGUGGUUGGCUUUGUUUUCCCAUGUUGUCAUUUCUAACUUGCUUGCCUUGUUGCUGCCAUUGUGUUGGUAUUCCUUUCCAUAUGAAGGUCGUUGUUGGAGUAUGUAUAUGGAGAUAAAUUAUGAAGUUCGAGCUAUAGUGGUUAUCCAGAAUGUCAAGUUAUUGGGAAUUGUUUCAAGGGUUCAUUGUUAGUGAUUUUGCAGGGUUGAUGUUGAGGACUUGGAAUAUGAUUAUUGUUCAAGAAGAAGAUUUUUAUGUUAUGGAAUGG